GGAAAUUUUUGAAAGGUCAUAAAACUUAGUGACAUAUUUUUGGCCGAGACAUUCGUUAAAUCGAUUUAUUACAAUGAAGCAAUUAUGACUAAUUUUUGUACAAAUGGACAAAAAUGUAGAUUACGUUGUCUACUA